GAUGAACGCUGGCGGCGUGCCUAAUACAUGCAAGUCGAGCGAACGGACGAGAAGCUUGCUCCUCUGAUGUUAGCGGCGGACGGGUGAGUAACACGUGGAUAACCUACCUAUAAGACUGGGAUAACUUCGGGAAACCGGAGCUAAUACCGGAUAAUAUUUUGACCCGCAUGGUUCAAUAGUGAAAGACGGUCUUGCUGUCACUUAUAGAUGGAUCCGCGCUGCAUUAGCUAGUUGGUAAGGUAACGGCUUACCAAGGCAACGAUGCAUAGCCGACCUGAGAGGGUGAUCGGCCACACUGGAACGGAGACACGGUCCAAACCCCUACGGGAGGAAGCAGUAGGGAAUCUUCCGCAAUGGGCGAAAGCCUGACGGAGCAACGCGGCGUGAGUGAUGAAGGUCUUCGGAUCGUAAAACUCUGUUAUUAGGGAAGAACAUAUGUGUAAGUAACUGUGCACAUCUUGACGGUACCUAAUCAGAAAGCCACGGCUAACUACGUG
rnacentral:rRNA from 1 species